rnacentral:rRNA from 1 species
GACGAACGCUGGCGGCGUGCCUAAUACAUGCAAGUAGAACGCUGAAGAGAGGAGCUUGCUCUUCUUGGAUGAGUUGCGAACGGGUGAGUAACGCGUAGGUAACCUGCCUUGUAGCGGGGGAUAACUAUUGGAAACGAUAGCUAAUACCGCAUAACAAUGGAUGACACAUGUCAUUUAUUUGAAAGGGGCAAUUGCUCCACUACAAGAUGGACCUGCGUUGUAUUAGCUAGUAGGUGAGGUAAUGGCUCACCUAGGCGACGAUACAUAGCCGACCUGAGAGGGUGAUCGGCCACACUGGGACUGAGACACGGCCCAGACUCCUACGGGAGGCAGCAGUAGGGAAUCUUCGGCAAUGGGGGCAACCCUGACCGAGCAACGCCGCGUGAGUGAAGAAGGUCUUCGGAUCGUAAAGUUCUGUUGUAAGUCAAGAACGGGUGUGAGAGUGGAAAGUUCACACUGUGACGGUAGCUUACCAGAAAGGGACGGCUAACUACGUG